rnacentral:rRNA from 1 species
AUUGAACGCUGGCGGCAGGCCUAACACAUGCAAGUCGAGCGAGCGGCGGGCGAGUGAGUAAUGCCUGCGCAUUGCCCGGUCGAGGGAGAUAACAGUUGGAAAAGACCGGUAAUACCGCAUACGAUUGGAUUGCCAUGGUGGGGUUAGCUAGUUGGUGAGGUAAUGGCUCACCAAGGCGAAGAUCCGUAGCUGGUCUGAGAGGACGAUCAGCCACACUGGAACUGAGACACGGUCCAGACUCCUACGGGAGGCAGCAGUGGGGAAUAUUGCACAAUGGGGGAAACCCUGAUGCAGCCAUGCCGCGUGUGCGAAGAAGGCCUUCGGGUUGUAAAGCACUUUUAGCAGGGAGGCGGUACCUGCAGAAGAAGCACCGGCUAACUACGUGCCAGCAGCCGCGGUAAUUC